CCGUAGGUGAACCUGCGGAAGGAUCAUUA
rnacentral:ncRNA from 192 species